CCUUAUGCUGCCCCGUCCAGCCGCCGCCACGACCGGUGCUCCCUGCCCAAUCCCAAGACCAGCCGUCGGCUCCGCUCCGCGGCCAGCCGCCGCCACGCUGGUCGCUUCCAAGCCAGUCUCCCGGUUAGCCGCCGCCACGCCCGACGCUCUGCCGGCCAGCCGCCGUCGCCGCGACCGACGCUCCUCCGCCGGUUGCCGGUGCCACGAACUGACGUACAGUACCAUAUUUUGAUUGAUUUAACACAUGCUCCUGCAAAUCUGAAUCCCCGUUGGAUAGAGUGAAAACAUGCAGGUCUUGAGAUUCCGUCAUAUCUCGUUUAGACUUGCGGUUGGCUAAUUCUUCAGAUUCUCCAUGUUGAAGUCCCCCUGGUCUUGCUUGCUGGCAAGCACAUCAAUUAUUUGCUAAAAUGUCAUGCUAAAAAAGGAUUCCUUCCGCUUGAAUUGUGGUGUCCACAACUAUCCUGCAAAAUUUGGAAUCAACAACAUAUGCAUGGAAAUAUUCACAGUAUAUGCUGAUGUACAUCAAAUUUCUCCUUCGUCCAUGGUGUUGUAAAUCAAGAAAAGAAAUAUUCAUGCAGCCAUAUCAACAGCCAACUGCCCCUUCUCAAAUCAUGUUGUAUUUAUUGACUUCUCACAUUUUAAGUCCAUUUUCUGGAAGUUAACAAUUUUCAUAUUAGUUUUAUGCCUGGAGCAAGUCGAGUCGAUUCUCUAAUCAUAACAUGCAUAUUUCAUGUCUUUCAGGUACUGUGACACUAGCUUUAUGAUGGGGAUAUGAAGUGCGCAUCCAGAAUUGACUAAAUUUCAUAGUCGAAGAAAAAGAGGGCGAUGGUUGGCAAGAAUGAUAAUAGUGCGGACUGAGUUAAGAGGGACUUGAUCAGUAUGAGAAAAACUAUUUCUUGCAUGUUGCUUUGGUAAUAUUUUGUUUGGGCAUAUAGUGAGCCCACUUAAGAAAUCAGAUUAUGUACUAACAAUAUGUGUAUUGUUCUCUUGCUUGCAUGUUCAGUUU